rnacentral:rRNA from 1 species
ACAUGCCUACAACAUAGUGUUAAUGCACCGGAUCCCAUUAGAACUACGUAGUUAAGCACGCUCAGGCUAGAGUAGUACUGGGAUGGGUGACCGCUCAGGAAGUCCUAGUGUUUUACAUGCU